AUGCAAGUCGAACGAUGACGACCGUGCUUGCACGGUCUGAUUAGUGGCGAACGGGUGAGUAACACGUGAGUAACCUGCCCCCCACUCUGGGAUAACCUCGGGAAAUCGGGGCUAAUACCGGAUAUGAGCUCCUGCCGCAUGGUGGGUGCUGGAAAGUUUUUCGGUGGGGGAUGGACUCGCGGCCUAUCAGUUUGUUGGUGAGGUAAUGGCUCACCAAGGCGAUGACGGGUAGCCGGCCUGAGAGGGCGACCGGCCACACUGGGACUGAGACACGGCCCAGACUCCUACGGGAGGCAGCAGUGGGGAAUAUUGCACAAUGGGCGAAAGCCUGAUGCAGCGACGCCGCGUGGGGGAUGACGGCCUUCGGGUUGUAAACCUCUUUCAGUAGGGAAGAAGCGAAAGUGACGGUACCUGCAGAAGAAGCGCCGGCUAACUACGUGCCAGCAGCCGCGGUAAUACGUAGGGCGCAAGCGUUGUCCGGAAUUAUUGGGCGUAAAGAGCUUGUAGGUGGCUUGUCGCGUCUGCCGUGAAAACCCGAGGCUCAACCUCGGGCGUGCGGUGGGUACGGGCAGGCUAGAGUGUGGUAGGGGAGACUGGAACUCCUGGUGUAGCGGUGAAAUGCGCAGAUAUCAGGAAGAACACCGAUGGCGAAGGCAGGUCUCUGGGCCAUUACUGACACUGAGAAGCGAAAGCAUGGGGAGCGAACAGGAUUAGAUACCCUGGUAGUCCAUGCCGUAAACGUUGGGCACUAGGUGUGGGGAACAUUCCACGUUUUCCGCGCCGUAGCUAACGCAUUAAGUGCCCCGCCUGGGGAGUACGGCCGCAAGGCUAAAACUCAAGGAAUUGACGGGGG
rnacentral:rRNA from 1 species